CGGGAAACUGCGGUAAUACUCCAUGGUGUUGUUGAGUGGCAUCACUUAACAACUAAAGUACAAGCCGCCCUUGGAUCGGUGUGCGUUCGAUUAGCUAGUUGGCGGGGUAACCGGCCCACCAAGGCUUCGAUCGAGUAGGGGGUGUGAGAGCAUGACCCCCCCACACGGGUACUGAGACACGGACCCGACUCCUACGGGAGGCAGCAGUAAGGAAUAUUGGACAAUGGGCGGAAGCCUGAUCCAGCCAUGCCGCGUGAAGGACGAAGGCGCUCAGCGUUGUAAACUUCUUUUGGAUGGGAACAAUAACUCCGACUUGUCGGAACUUGAGGGUACCAUCAGAAUAAGCACCGGCUAACUCCGUG
rnacentral:rRNA from 1 species